rnacentral:rRNA from 1 species
GCCUAACACAUGCAAGUCGAGCGGUAACAGGAUGAGUAGCAAUACUCAUUGCUGACGAGCGGCGGACGGGUGAGGAACACGUAGGAACCUGCCCUCAAGAGGGGGAUAACUAAGGGAAACUUUAGCUAAUACCGCAUAUACUCGCGAGAGGAAAGUUGCCCGUAAGGGUGACGUUUGAGGAGGGGCCUGCGUCCGAUUAGCGAGUUGGUGGGGUAAGAGCUUACCGAGGCGAUGAUCGGUAACUGGUCUGAGAGGACGACCAGUCACACUGGGACUGAGACACGGCCCAGACUCCUACGGGAGGCAGCAGUGGGGAAUCUUGGACAAUGGGGGCAACCCUGAUUCAGCGACGCCGCGUGGGUGAAGAAGGCCUUCGGGUUGUAAAGCCCUUUAGGUUGGGAAGAAGGUCAUAGGUGGAUAAUACUUAUGAUUUGACGGUACCGACAGAAUAAGCACCGGCAAACUCUGUGCCAGCCGCCGCAGUAA